GUUUUUGACCACAGCGUCAAUGACAGCAAUGGAUCUUUGCCACUUGCGGUUAAGUAUCAAUUGCGCUUCAGUUACUUUCAGAAGAAUUUUAUACCGGGGAAGAAUAUAUUUUUUCAAGAUGACAUAGAAGGCUGGUGGACAUCCUUUCUUUACCCUCCCAAUCCACGCCAAGAACCCCGGGAAUUUCCAUUUGCUGAUGGGGGAAGUCCUGGAUACAACAAAGAAGGCUUCCUGGCCAUACAGUAUGCUGUGGAUAAAGCCAUCAUGUGGUACCAU
rnacentral:lncRNA from 1 species